rnacentral:misc_RNA from 1 species
UACAGAGGGGGCAAGCGUUAUUCGGAAUUAUUGGGCGUAAAGGGCGCGUAGGCGGCCUGGCAAGCGGAAGGUGAAAUCCCCGGGCUCAACCCGGGAACUGCCUUCCGAACUGCUUGGCUUGAGUCCGGGAGAGGUGAGUGGAAUUCCCAGUGUAGCGGUGAAAUGCGUAGAUAUUGGGAGGAACACCAGUGGCGAAGGCGGCUCACUGGACCGGCACUGACGCUGAGGCGCGAAAGCAUGGGGAGCAAACAGG